GCGCGUAUAGCUCAGCGGUAGAGCUCUGGUCUUACACACCAGCGGUCAGGGGUUCAAAUCCCCUUGCGCGCACCA
rnacentral:tRNA from 1 species